rnacentral:rRNA from 1 species
UAGGGAAUCUUCCACAAUGGACGCAAGUCUGAUGGAGCAACGCCGCGUGAGUGAAGAAGGCUUUCGGGUCGUAAAACUCUGUUAUUGAAGAAGAACGUGUGUGACAGUAACUGGUCAUGCAGUGACGGUAUUCAAUCAGAAAGUCACGGCUAACUACGUGCCAGCAGCCGCGGUAAUACGUAGGUGGCAAGCGUUGUCCGGAUUUAUUGGGCGUAAAGCGAGUGCAGGCGGUCUUUUAAGUCUGAUGUGAAAGCCUUCGGCUUAACCGAGAAGGGCAUCGGAAACUGGGAGACUUGAGUGCAGAAG